AUGAGCCCUGAUUGGGAGGAUCUUUUUCCUCUUGUUGCGGUUCGUAAAUUAGUAAGAGAUGUUUCAGACCAUAAUCCUUUACUGUUGACAACAAACCCUGGAAAGAAUGGUCCCAGGCACCAGCGUGAGUUCAGAUUUGAACUUAGCUGGUUGAAGAAUGAGGAUUUCUAUGGUAAAGCCAAAGUGAUUUGGGAGAAACCUGUGCAUUCCGAAGAUCCCAUAGAUAUUUUGAAUGUUAAGCUCAAACGUAUAAAAAAAUACUUCAAAGGAUGGGGCUCGCACCUCUUU
rnacentral:rRNA from 1 species